rnacentral:rRNA from 1 species
UGUGUAGGCGGCUGGAUAAGUCUGGCGUGAAAUCUUCACCGCUUAACGGGAAGGGGUCGCUGGAAACUGUUCAGCUUGAGUAUGGUAGAGGCAAGCGGAAUUCCUGGUGUAGCGGUGGAAUGUGUAGAUAUCAGGAAGAACACCGGUGGCGAAGGCGGCUUGCUGGGCCAUCACUGACGCUGAGACACGAAAGCGUGGGGAGCAAACGGGAUUAGAUACCCCGGUAGUCCACGCUGUAAACGGUGCGCACUAGGUGUGGGGGGUAUCGACUCCUCCCGUGCCGACGUUAACACAUUAAGUGCGCCGCCUGGGGAGUACGGCCGCAAGGUUGAA